GUCAGCUUGACAUAGUGGUUUGAGUGUUGGACUGCGAUUCUGGAGACCAGGGUUCAAUUCCCAGCUCAGCCA
rnacentral:tRNA from 1 species